CUACCCAAAGCAUUUGAAGAAGUUGAUUCCUCUGUGUUGGCAUUUAUUGAAGUUGAUUUGCUAAGCUGCACCCCAAUUCCUCCACCCUACUUCCUAUCAUUGGUUCAAAUUCAAGUAAAUACAUUGAAUGAGAUUUUCAAUUCACAAUGUAUAGAUUCAACUUCCUGGAAGAUAUAAUAGUUUGAUUUUGGGGUAUGAAAAAUUGGGAUGGUGGGCAUGGGGAUAGCAGAGUGGGUAGAUGUGGGAAGAAUAUAAGUCCAUGAAUAAAAA
rnacentral:lncRNA from 1 species